CCUACGGGGGGCUGCAGUGAGGAAUAUUGGUCAAUGGCCGUAAGGCUGAACCAGCCAAGUAGCGUGAGGGAAGACUGCCCUAUGGGUUGUAAACCUCUUUUAUGCGGGGAUAAAGGUGUCCACGUGUGGCUGUUUGCAGGUACCGCAUGAAUAAGGACCGGCUAAUUCCGUGCCAGCAGCCGCGGUAAUACGGAAGGUCCGGGCGUUAUCCGGAUUUAUUGGGUUUAAAGGGAGCGUAGGCCGGUCUUUAAGCGUGCCGUGAAAUUUUGUGGCUCAACCAUGAGAGUGCGGCGCGAACUGGAGACCUUGAGUGCGCGGAAGGCAGGCGGAAUUCGUGGUGUAGCGGUGAAAUGCUUAGAUAUCACGAAGAACCCCGAUUGCGAAGGCAGCCUGCCGCAGCGUUACUGACGCUGAAGCUCGAAAGCGCGGGUAUCGAACAGGAUUAGAUACCCUAGUAGUC
rnacentral:rRNA from 1 species